CCGCUACAGAGAACGCUCCCGCCCGUGGUCGGCACCGCACCACGUCGUCGACGACGAGGGGUUGGAUAAGAGCGCCCCUCCCCGAACCCUAGCUACCCACUCGCCCCACUCCUCUCUGUCCCUCCGCCUCGCCCCUCGCCAGAUCCCCUUUCCUCUAGCCCUCUUCCUCUCGGUCCCGAGCCGCCCGAGCACUACCACCGCCGUGCCAUCGUCGUUCGCCUGCUCCGGCUUCUUCCCGGGCUACGGGAGGUUGGCAGGGGGCCUCGCCGCGCCCCGUAGUCACCGUCCACACCACCAGCACAGGCUUCGGAGUUCCCUGCCGCUGGAUCGGGCGUCGCCCGCACCGGCAACCACGUCGACCACCGCCACCGCCUCGCCGCGUACAACUACUCCGACAUCUCCUCGACCUAUCCUGAGCUCCCCAUCUGCCGCCGCUAUGACGGAGUUCCAGGAGCCAGAUGACACCUUUGACGACUGCUACUACACCGAGGGCGUCUACUACCACGUGACGGAGACCGCCGAUGACCAGGAGUAGUUAGGAGGCUCCCAGGCAGGAGGCCUUGCCUUUUCGAUCGUAGAUGCUUUUGUGCUAGCCUUCUUAAGGCAAACUUAUUUAACUUAUGUCUGUACUCAGAUAUUGUUGCUUCCGCUGACUCGUUUGUAUUCAAGCUGAUGUAUUCAAGCUCUCGAGGCCCCUGGCUUGUAAUAUAAAGCUUGUAUUAUUUUAAUUUGUGUCUAGAGUUGUGCUGUG
rnacentral:rRNA from 1 species